AACGAACGCUGGCGGCAUGCCUAACACAUGCAAGUCGAACGAGACCUUCGGGUCUAGUGGCGCACGGGUGCGUAACGCGUGGGAGCCUGCCCUUAGGUUCGGAAUAACUCCCCGAAAGGGGUGCUAAUACCGGAUAAUGUCUUCGGACCAAAGAUUUAUCGCCUUUGGAUGGGCCCGCGUUGGAUUAGCUAGUUGGUAGGGUAAAAGCCUACCAAGGCGACGAUCCAUAGCUGGUCUGAGAGGAUGAUCAGCCACACUGGGACUGAGACACGGCCCAGACUCCUACGGGAGGCAGCAGUAGGGAAUAUUGGACAAUGGGCGAAAGCCUGAUCCAGCAAUGCCGCGUGAGUGAUGAAGGCCUUAGGGUUGUAAAGCUCUUUUACCCGGGAUGAUAAUGACAGUACCGGGAGAAUAAGCUCCGGCUAACUCCGUG
rnacentral:rRNA from 1 species